UCUCUUUCUGAUUAUAAUAAAUGUUGUUUAAUGAUCGUUAUUCUAUUUAAUGCUUUACAAAAGGUGGUCAAAAAUUCCUCCAUCGACUUCGACACA